rnacentral:rRNA from 1 species
AUUGAACGCUGGCGGCAUGCCUUACACAUGCAAGUCGAACGGCAGCACGGGAGCAAUCCUGGUGGCGAGUGGCGAACGGGUGAGUAAUAUAUCGGAACGUGCCCAGUAGUGGGGGAUAGCCCGGCGAAAGCCGGAUUAAUACCGCAUGAGACCUGAGGGUGAAAGCGGGGGGAUCGCAAGACCUCGCGCUAUUGGAGCGGCCGAUAUCAGAUUAGCUAGUUGGUGGGGUAAAGGCCUACCAAGGCAACGAUCUGUAGUUGGUCUGAGAGGACGACCAGCCACACUGGGACUGAGACACGGCCCAGACUCCUACGGGAGGCAGCAGUGGGGAAUUUUGGACAAUGGGCGCAAGCCUGAUCCAGCAAUGCCGCGUGCAGGAAGAAGGCCUCGGUUGUAAC